rnacentral:rRNA from 1 species
GUAGGUGGCAAGCGUUGUCCGGAAUUAUUGGGCGUAAAGCGCGCGCAGGCGGUUCUUUAAGUCUGAUGUGAAAGCCCACGGCUCAACCGUGGAGGGUCAUUGGAAACUGGAGAACUUGAGUACAGAAGAGGAAAGCGGAAUUCCACGUGUAGCGGUGAAAUGCGUAGAGAUGUGGAGGAACACCAGUGGCGAAGGCGGCUUUCUGGUCUGUAACUGGCGCUGAGGCGCGAAAGCGUGGGGAGCAAACAGGAUUAGAUACCCUGGUAGUCUACGCCGUAAACGAUGAGUGCUAAGUGUUAGGGGGUUUCCGCCCCCCUUAGUGCUGCAGCUAACGCAUUAAGCACUCCGCCUGGGAGUACGGCCGCAAGGCUG